CGCCCUUCGGGGUGCACCAGGCGCGAAAACUUUACACUGCGGGAAACCGCGAUAAGGGGACCCCGAGUGCCAGCACCUAAUGCUGGCUGUCCAGUUGUCCAAAUAACAACUGUAAGCAAGGGCCGGGCAAGACCGGUGCCAGCCGCCGCGGUAACACCGGCGGCCCGAGUGGUAGCCGCUAUUAUUGGGUUUAAAGGGUCCGUAGCCGGCUUAUUAAGUCUUUUGGGAAAUCUGGCGGCUCAAUCGUCAGGCGUCCAAAAGAUACUGGUAGGCUUGGGACCGGGAGAGGUGGGAGGUACUCCAGGGGUAGGGGUGAAAUCUCGUAAUCCUUGGGGGACCACCGAUGGCGAAGGCAUCCCACCAGAACGGGUCCGACGGUGAGGGACGAAAGCUGGGGGCACGAACCGGAUUAGAUACCCGGGUAGUCCCAGCUGUAAACGAUGCUCGCUAGGUGUCGGGUGCGGUGCGACCGCAUCUGGUGCCGCAGUGAAAACUUGAAGCGAGUCACCUGGGAAGUACGGUCGCAAGGCUGAAACUUAAAGGAAUUGGCGGGGGAGCAC
rnacentral:rRNA from 1 species